CCUACGGGUGGCAGCAGUGGGGAAUAUUGGGCAAUGGACGCAAGUCUGACCCAGCAACGCCGCGUGAAGGAAGAAGGCUUUCGGGUUGUAAACCUCUUUUAAGGGGGAAGAGCAGAAGACGGUAUCACUUGAAUAAGCCACGGCUAACUACGUGCCAGCAGCCGCGGUAAUACGUAGGUGGCAAGCGUUGUCCGGAUUUACUGGGUGUAAUGGGCGUGCAGCCGGAGAGACAAGUCAGAUGUGAAAUCCACGGGCUCAACCCGUGAACUGCCUUUGACACUGUUUCGCUCGAGUGUCGGAGAGGUAAGCGGAAUUCCUGGUGUAGCGGUGAAAUGCGUAGAUAUUAGGAAGAACACCAGUGGCGAAGGCGGAUUACUGGACGAUAACUGACGGUGAGGCGCGAAAGCGUGGGGAGCAAACAGGAUUAGAUACCCUUGUAGUC
rnacentral:rRNA from 1 species